GGAGAGAUGGCUCAGUGGUUAAGAGCACUGACUGCUCUUCCAGAGCACCUCUUACAGAGGACCUGGGUUCAAUUCCCAGCAUCCA
rnacentral:tRNA from 1 species